CCCUCUUGGAUCUGCAAAAUUUGGGGAC
rnacentral:piRNA from 1 species